rnacentral:rRNA from 1 species
UACGUAGGGUGCAGGCGUUAAUCGGAAUUACUGGGCGUAAAGCGUGCGCAGGCGGCGCCGCAAGUCGAGUGUGAAGUCCCCGAGCUUAACUUGGGAAUUGCGCUCGAAACUACGGUGCUGGAGUGUGGCAGAGGGAGGUGGAAUUCCACGUGUAGCGGUGAAAUGCGUAGAGAUGUGGAGGAACACCGAUGGCGAAGGCAGCCUCCUGGGCCAACACUGACGCUCAUGCACGAAAGCGUGGGGAGCAAACAGG